CCUGGAGCUGCCCCAGUAGAGGAGACUGAAGAGGUGGUGCCGUUCCAACCACCGCAGGAGGAUGCAGCCCUGGAGCGCACACAAGAGCAGGAGUCCAGCCGUGGCCGUUUCCGCUGUACAGGGCAGAUGGCUGGCAAAUUCAUGAAGAGGAUUCAAGAGGAAGAGACCAGCGUCAUGGGCACUGUGGUCAGAGCAUACCCUCCCAUCUUCAAAAC